UGUGCCAGCAGCCGCGGUAAUACAGAGGGUGCAAGCGUUAUUCGGAAUUAUUGGGCGUAAAGCGCGCGUAGGCGGACUGUUAAGUCAGAUGUGAAAGCCCUGGGCUCAACCGGAAGAAUUGCAUCCGAUACUGGCAAUCUAGAGUGUAGGAGCGGAGAAUGGAACUUCUGGUGGAGCGGUGAAAUGCGUAGAUAUCAGAAGGAACAUCAGUGGCGAAGGCGAUUCUCUGGCCUAUUACUGACGCUGAGGUGCGAAAGCUAGA
rnacentral:rRNA from 1 species